rnacentral:rRNA from 1 species
GACGGAGGGUGCAAGCGUUGUUCGGAAUUACUGGGCGCAAAGGGCGCGUAGGCGGUCUGUUAAGUUCGGUGUGAAAGCCCCCGGCUCACCUGGGGAACUGCGCCGGAAACCGACAGACUCGAGUACCGGAGAGGAGGGUGGAAUUCCUGGUGUAGCGGUGAAAUGCGUAGAUAUCGAGAGGAACACCUGAGGUGAAGACGGGUUGCUGGGCUGACACUGACGCUGAAGCGCGAAAGCCAGGGGAGCAAACGGG